UGUCCCUAUUCCCAUAGACCUGAGGCUCGGGUUUGCCUCAAACUCGGGCAGUAAACGCACAGCGGUUCCCAGGGCUCCCCUCGGCCCCUCCCUCGCUCUCAGAGGCGCGCGCACGCGCACGCACGCACAGGUGUCCAGCUGACCCCUCCUGAGUGGUAACCAGUUCCGAAGCGCGUGUUCUCCUAGCGACGCCGCGGCGACCGGAGCUACCCUCUCGGGGACUCGCGCUUGUCCCCAGGAGAACCAAAAGGGACAGCUAAGACAAUGAGCACCUUAGCGCCCUGGGACUUUGCCCGUGAUAGAGCUUGCCUCUAGGGCCGCCGCCUAGCCCAGGCGUUGAGCGAUGCCCUCUACUGGGAAGCCUGUGCCUGGAGCCCUGCGCAGGUGGGGGUCGCACAGAAGACCUGGCUCGGGUGGGGGAUGGGAACGGAGAACGAUGACCUGCGUGACCUCUGCUCGGUCUCAGGCAUCCUUCCUCGCCUUCGCCCUCUUUCUCUUCCAAAACUCGAAUUCCCCAACCUGGACCCUCUCCGGGGAAGGUGGCAGAAGCGGGCUCUGCCAGGGAACGCGGGUGCGAAACUGAGGAGGGCGCUGCCUGCUGGAUGGAGUUAGUUUUGGCCGCCUCCUCCUCCUCGCUGUUUCUGCGGAAGGAAGCGCUGCGGCCGCAGCAGCCCUUGGUGCCAGCACAUAUCCCUCCCCGACCUUGGCUGAGAUUUGCUGCCGCGGUGUCUUGACUAGCAGAAAGCACAGUUUCCCUCCCGCGCAGUGACUGGGGAUGCCCUCGGGGCAGAGGAUUUGUCUGGGUCUGCGCCCAACUCUGGACCUCUGCCAUGGAGACCUUUCUGAGCCCUGGAAAAAUUCGUGGAUGCCCGGGUGCAGCCUCCUGAUACUUCCACGUAGCCCAUCCCUGCCCCGCACCUGCCCACGCCCAUUUAGCCAGGUCAUUCAUAUUAAAUCUCCAACCCCAAGUUUCUGCGUGCUUAGGAACCUCAAAGAAGACCGCAGCGUGGGCGGCUCUCUAGACCCCCCGAGCUGCCCAGCAGCUGCUGCAAACGCGAGAUUCAGCGCUCCAUUUUUCUGGGAUGGCAGUGCUGUCGCCCCAAACCCCCAGCUUGCUGCUCACCCCCUUCCUUCACCGCCCCUGCACAGGACUUCCUGACCUGGGGGGUUUAUGAUGUGUGUGUGGGGCGGCGGGAAGGUGAGGCACCCCUUCCUCACCCCUGAGACCGAGGGAGAAUCUGGCUCCUGGCAGCCUACUCCAUCAAGUGCCACACUGUUCUAGGUAGGGAAUUUUCUCCCUGAAGACUCCAUUUUCUCGUUCCCAAGUCCCCAGCCCCUGGGCAUGAGGUGGGGGCACCCAAGGUCUCCAACCGCUGGUUGAUUCCUCCCGACUGCACGUCCUAGGUUGGGAGGGAGCGGGUGGCCAUCGGCUUCUGCACCCUCCUUUCCUUUCCAUGCGACUCCCUAGGGGUUCUGAGUCCCCAUCUCCCGGUGCAUGCAGACCCCCA
rnacentral:lncRNA from 1 species